GCAAGGAGAUGGUACUUGCUUUCCACACAAAAAGUCUUCCUUUUUCUCGCUUUGUUGUUUUUCUAUGACAUCUUGACAUUAGUAGUAGAUGACCAUUUUCAAGGCAAUUCCCCACUGUUUAAAAAAGACAAUAUGUAGUAUAUGGGGUGGGAGGUAUAGUGCUAGGUUUUGGCUGUAGACACAUCUGUUUGUCACUCUGUAGAAGGUAA
rnacentral:lncRNA from 1 species